rnacentral:rRNA from 1 species
UGAGGAAUAUUGGUCAAUGGGCGAGAGCCUGAACCAGCCAAGUAGCGUGCAGGAUGACGGCCCUAUGGGUUGUAAACUGCUUUUAUAAGGGAAUAAAGUGAGAGUCGUGACUCUUUUUGCAUGUACCUUAUGAAUAAGGACCGGCUAAUUCCGUGCCAGCAGCCGCGGUAAUACGGAAGGUCCGGGCGUUAUCCGGAUUUAUUGGGUUUAAAGGGAGCGUAGGCCGGAGAUUAAGCGUGUUGUGAAAUGUAGACGCUCAACGUCUGCACUGCAGCGCGAACUGGUUUCCUUGAGUACGCACAAAGUGGGCGGAAUUCGUGGUGUAGCGGUGAAAUGCUUAGAUAUCACGAAGAACUCCGAUUGCGAAGGCAGCUCACUGGAGCGCAACUGACGCUGAAGCUCGAAAGUGCGGGUAUCGAACAGGAUUAGAUACCCUGGUAGUCCGCACGGUAAACGAUGGAUGCCCGCUGUUGGUCUGAACAGGUCAGCGGCCAAGCGAAAGCAUUAAGCAUCCCACCUGGGGAGUACGCCGGCAACGGUGAAACUCAAAGGAAUUGACGGGGGCCCGCACAAGCGGAGGAACAUGUGGUUUAAUUCGAUGAUACGCGAGGAACCUUACCCGGGCUUGAAUUGCAGAGGAAGGAUUUGGAGACAAUGACGCCCUUCGGGGUCUCUGUGAAGGUGCUGCAUGGUUGUCGUCAGCUCGUGCCGUGAGGUGUCGGCUUAAGUGCCAUAACGAGCGCAACCCCUCUCCUUAGUUGCCAUCAGGUCAAGCUGGGCACUCUGGGGACACUGCCACCGUAAGGUGUGAGGAAGGUGGGGAUGACGUCAAAUCAGCACGGCCCUUACGUCCGGGGCUACACACGUGUUACAAUGGCAGGUACAGAGAGACGGUCCCUUGCAAAAUGGAUCAAAUCCUUAAAGCCUGUCUCAGUUCGGACUGGGGUCUGCAACCCGACCCCACGAAGCUGGAUUCGCUAGUAAUCGCGCAUCAGCCACGGCGCGGUGAAUACGUUCCC